UCUAAGUUUGAUGGCGACCGGCGCACGGGUGAGUAACACGUAUCCAACCUGCCGAUGACUCGGGGAUAGCCUUUCGAAAGAAAGAUUAAUACCCGAUGGCAUAGUUCUUCCGCAUGGUGGAACUAUUAAAGGAUUCCGGUAAAGGAUGGGGAUGCGUUCCAUUAGGUUGUUGGUGAGGUAACGGCCCACCAAGCCUUCGAUGGAUAGGGGUUCUGAGAGGAAGGUCCCCCACAUUGGAACUGAGACACGGUCCAAACUCCUACGGGAGGCAGCAUG
rnacentral:rRNA from 1 species